GCAGAUCUCCAGCUUUGUGAAAUGAUAGAUGAAAUCCUCAUAGGACAUCCUGAGAAGUUGGAAGAAGAGAGAGACCCAUAUGGGAGCAAGGGGUGUCUCUUUAAGCAGAGACCUGAAGAUUCUUCUCAAGCUAAGACUUGAAGCCUGAGUAGAAACAACUUGAGUGAGGGUAAGGUUGGUGCUGGGAGAUCAGGGGAAGUAGAGCUUCCUAGGCUCAGAAAAAAUUGUGCUAAGGCCAUGGUGCAUGUGGCUGGAAUAGAGUGUGUGGUGGAGGAGUACAGGGGAGGCAAGAGACAUGUCAUGUUGGCCUGGUCCUGGGCUCAGUUGUCCCUGUGGUCUGGAGGGCUCCUCUCAGAACCUCAUCCUUGCUGGGCCUUGGGCUGGGGGAGGAGAACAGGGCCCAGAUUUCCCAAGGGCUGGAAUCUGAUAACCUCAUCUGGGGAUUGAGGUCUGAGAUUUCCCCUCUCUUCCCCAUCCCUUACCCUUCUGGGUCUUCUUGGGUUCCGGACUCACCAGAACUCUCCAUCCUCAGUGACCUGGUGCUGCAGAUGGGCCUUCUCAUCUUUGUCCACAAAGCUCCAGUCCUUCCAACUGGGGGAAAAAUGGAGGAAAUAAGGAAGAGGCAAGAAGAGAAGGCCUGAUGUAGGUUGGGACAGGAGGUAUCAGAGAAAUACGAAGAGUUGCAGCCACUGUGAACCACCAAACUGCUGAUCUGAUCUGUUACCCUCAGCAUGAAACCCAACAGCAGUGACUUCUCACAUCCUCAAGACUGAACAUAAACUCCUUAAAUGGGCUGGUGAGGGCUUGACCCUUCUCAUCACACUUUAAAGGCUCACUGAGGAGAAUUCAACUAAACUGGAUGGUCCCUGGAAAGGUAAGGGGCUGAGGAAGUGCUUGGAGUCAAAGAGCACCACAGGAACACGGACAUUCCCGAGACCAGGAGGAGGGACACAUCAGAGGAAAGCUCCUUGAGUGAACAUGGGUGGGUCCACUUGUCAGCAGCCCCUGUGAGGGAAGCGUCAUGGAAAGCAGGACAGGGCUGCCCACCAAGCUCUGAGGCUGGAGAACACAGCAAGGUUCCCUGCGGGUGACUUGGGCAAACAGAGUGGACAAUUGAGGAGUCACCAAGGGCCUUCCCAGAGCCGAGAGCACAGUUCCACUGUCACUCCCUCCAGGCAACCUUUCUCUACGCUUCCUCUCCCACCCAAACUAGGUGUGGAGACCCUCUCUUUGUGAUCCUUACUGUGACAUUGAUCUCAGUUAUUAGUGUGUGUUUGCCUGUCCUUCCCUGGGCCUUAAACCCACAGGCGCAGGGCCCAAUGUGUCUGUUCAUUUCUACAUUCCCAGUCAGUAGUCUAGGGCCUGGCAGAAAUCAGCACUGAGGAAGUAAGCAUUUGUAGCAUGGAUAAGUGAAUGACUGUAGGAGGCAGUCAGGGCAUGAGGAUCAGACCCUUAUCACAGUGUAUCGAGGGAGGCUAUGGGUUCACAGAAUAUCCCCAGUGCCUUGACAUGUGCCUCCUAUGUAGUAGGCACCCAAGAAACAUUUGCUAAAUGAAUGACUGAACAAACCAGUAAUUACAUGCUGAGCUAAGAGGUAUGCAGCGGUACAUAAGCACAGGAGCUGAAGGGCCCAGGCUUCCUGGUUGCAGUCAUUCUCCACUACUGAGUCCUACUAUCCCCUCUGGAAAUAAAACAGGAGCUCAUGGGCUCAUUCAGUAAUGAAAUGCCUCUCAUUCAGUAGAGGUAAUUAGGAACCAGUGGGACCAUGGAGGUUUUGCAAAUGUGCUGGAGCCUUCAUAAUAACUUCCCAUGUGUAUUAUUUUUGUUGCCCCCAGUCUAUUCCUUUCAGUGACAAGCAGUAAAAUUCUUUCACACAGCCCUUGCACCUUAAUAUGGGGUCAGCACGGGUAAGGAAAUCUUGGUAAUAGCUCAGCACUUUCCAAAAACAGUCCCAUUUGCUCCUCAUAUGAGCCCACAAGGUAAGUGCUAAUAAUACCAUUCCCAUUUCACAGGUAAGGCAGGAAAGACUGCAAGAAGGGAAGUCACUUGUCCAGCUCAGACCCCUGCAUUCAUAUUCUUUUCCUGUGGGGAUCUUCUCCAUGCUUUCUGGAAUCCUUCCUUUCCAGCCAAUGGCUGUCAUCAACCUCUCUGGGUCCCCACACCCCACUUCCACUCCCGGCCCUUCCCUGGAGCCAACACCUGUACCCCUCUUCUCUGCGGAUCAUUGGUUUUGAGGGCGAUUUUGUACCAAGCAUCUUCAAUACUCUCAUGGCUCAGUUCCCAACAUAGCCUUGUCCUGGGCCCUGUUCCCUGCUACUGCCCAUCCCAUGGGGUCCCCUCACCUACCC